GGAGAGGAAACAGCACGUUUCGGCCGCUGCCCGAGUGUUCCCGGGGCUAGGAGGGGAGCGGCGGGCACUUCUGCCGGGACCUCUGCACCCGACCCCAGCACGCGCGAGGGCGGCGCCCGCAGGGGGCGCGAAGGGCGCACAGAGCACCUGGUGUGCUAUGGCCAAUACUCCUUCAAAAAGAGACAUUAAGCAACUUGCCCAAACCAUUCGGGCAGUAAAUGAUGGAAACUCCCAUACCGCGACCGCGUCACACCCCGUGGAUUUCUCAUCAGGACCACAGUCAGUGCACCAGGAUGUGGUGGAAAUGACACUGUGCAACUUCUGAAGCAAAGCCUCAAGAGAACACACAGCCCUCAUUGUCACCCUCUUAGAAUUCUGUGACUACUGUGCCAUGAAGACCUGCAGAAAGACCACAUGCAAUGAGAGGUCCAGUCAUCCCAUCUGUCUCAUCUGAACUAACCCUCAGCCAAUGCAUCUGCUGAAUAUAGCUACGUGAGUUAGCCUAGGCAAGACCAGCAGAAGAACCAUCCAGCCAACCUCCAAAAUCAUGAGAUAUUGAUGGACACAAAGAAUGAGUACGUUUUGUAAUGACAAACAUGCCAAAUCUCUUGGUUGGAUUAUCACAUAUUGUACUCAAAUACUUAUAAUCAACUCUGUACCCCACAAAUACGUAUAAUCGUUUAUGUUUCAAU